UACGUAGGGUCCGAGCGUUGUCCGGAAUUAUUGGGCGUAAAGGGCUCGUAGGCGGUUUGUCACGUCGGGAGUGAAAACACGGGGCUUAACCCCGUGCCUGCUUCCGAUACGGGCAGACUAGAGGUAUGCAGGGGAGAACGGAAUUCCUGGUGUAGCGGUGAAAUGCGCAGAUAUCAGGAGGAACACCGGUGGCGAAGGCGGAUCUCUGGGCCGUAACUGACGCUGAGGAGCGAAAGCAUGGGGAGCGAACAGG
rnacentral:rRNA from 1 species